AGCUCCAAUAGCGUAUAUUAAAGUUGUUGCAGUUAAAAAGCUCGUAGUUGAACUUCAGGUCUGGCUGGUCGGUCCGCCUCACGGUGUGUACUGUUCGGCUGGGUCUUACCUCUUGGUGAGGCGGCAUGCCCUUUACUGGGUGUGUCGCGGAACCAGGACUUUUACCUUGAGAAAAUUAGAGUGUUCAAAGCAGGCAUUUGCCCGGAUACGUUAGCAUGGAAUAAUAAAAUAGGACGUGCGGUUCUAUUUUGUUGGUUUCUAGAGUCGCCGUAAUGAUUAAUAGGGACAGUUGGGGGCAUUCGUAUUGCAUUGCUAGAGGUGAAAUUCUUGGAUUUAUGCAAGACGAACUUCUGCGAAAGCAUUUGCCAAGGAUGUUUUCA
rnacentral:rRNA from 1 species